rnacentral:lncRNA from 1 species
AGGCAGCAGAGGAAAUCCCACAACCAUGGAGAUGGGUUCAUGGGCUCAGGUCUCUUCUGGGCUCUAAACAGCCUGCUACAGUUCUUUGCAAGUCCUUGGUCAGCAACCCCUCUUGUUCCCCUCAGGAAUGUUGUGAACAUCUCCCCCCAUUCAGCCUCAUCAUCCUCACUCUGGAAGGUAGACUGGACACCAUUAACUUACGAAGAGAGCAACGGAAAUGAGGGAAGAAGCGCGUCAGUCCCUCCCACCACAUCUACGCGGUCUUCUCUCUCCACCAAGGCCAGAGGAAGACAUUUACUGUUUGCUGAAUUAGAAAUCAGACGGAAAACCAUCCCAGGCUUUGAGUGCUCAAAGACAUGAUCCAGAAGUCAAGCCUUUCUUCCCAUUCUAUUAUACCCUUCUCAGGAUCAGGCACCAAGUUCAGAAUAAUACAACUGAUGAGGUAUUUUACACCAAAACCCAUCCUUAGCUGUUCUCCUAGAUGCCGGCUAGUACCUGACUCACAGUGUGACCUCACAAGCAAAG